rnacentral:snRNA from 1 species
GGAUAUGAAGGCAAUCUGGCUGCAACAUCUGUCAUCCUAUUAAUUUCCAGGGUUGAUGCAGUGGAUCUGGCUGGCUAGGAAGGUGUCCCCUUCCUUUCUCACUGUUCCAUGUAUGCUCCUCCCAAAGCUGUGUGCUAAGUAAAAGAGGAUGACCAUCGCGGAUGGAGGAGGACCCAUCUUCAAUAAAGGGUAUGUGAGUAGCUGGGCUCCCCGGCUAGAACCUCCAAACAAUCUCUCAAGAAGAGAAAAAAAUCAACCACAUAAUAUUAUUCUUCACCUCUCUUUAUUAUUUAGUGAUUUAUUUUUGUUG